GAGUUUGAUCUUGGCUCAGGAUGAACGCUAGCGGGAGGCCUAACACAUGCAAGCCGCGGGGUAUUUUGGAGCUUGCUUCAAGAGAGACCGGCGUACGGGUGCGUAACGCGUAUGCAACUUACCUGUAUCACUGGGAUAGCCCGGGGAAACCCGGAUUAAUACCGGAUAACAUAUCAGUCAGCAUUGGCAGAUAUUAAAAGAUUUAUCGGAUAUAGAUAGGCAUGCGUAGGAUUAGUUAGUUGGUAAGGUAACGGCUUACCAAGACGAUGAUCCUUAGGGGGCCUGAGAGGGUGAACCCCCACACUGGAACUGAGACACGGACCAG
rnacentral:rRNA from 1 species